rnacentral:rRNA from 1 species
CCUACGGGAGGCAGCAGUGAGGAAUAUUGGUCAAUGGUCGCGAGUCUGAACCAGCCAAGUCGCGUGCAGGAUGACGGCCCUAUGGGUUGUAAACUGCUUUUGUACUGGGGUAAACUGCGUCACGUGUGGUGUUUUGUAUGUACCGCAUGAAUAAGGACCGGCUAAUUCCGUGCCAGCAGCCGCGGUAAUACGGAGGGUCCGGGCGUUAUCCGGAUUUAUUGGGUUUAAAGGGUGCGUAGGCGGUAUGUUAAGCUUGCGGUGAAAUUCCGUGGCUCAACAACGGAACUGCGGCGAGAACUGGUGGGCUGGAGUGUGCGGACGGUAGGCGGAAUGUGUGGUGUAGCGGUGAAAUGCUUAGAGAUCACGCAGAACUCCGAUUGCGAAGGCAGCAUACGGAAGCGUAACUGACGUUGAAGCACGAAGGCGUGGGUAGCGAACAGGAUUAGAUACCCUUGUAGUC